UACGAAGGGUGCAAGCGUUACUCGGGAAUUACUGGGCGUAAAGCGUGCGUAGGUGGUGAGUUAAGUCUGUCGUGAAAGCCCCGGCUCAACCUGGGAAUGGCGAUGGAUACUGGCUCGCUAGAGUGCGGUAGAGGAGAGUGGAAUUCCCGGUGUAGCGGUGAAAUGCGUAGAUAGUCGGGAGGAACACCUGUGGCGAAAGCGGCGCACCUGGACCAUAACUGACGCUGGAGGCGCGAAAGCUAGGGGAGCAAACAGG
rnacentral:rRNA from 1 species